rnacentral:lncRNA from 1 species
ACACGUGCUCGAACCUCCUCCUCCCAAGCAGGACAGCCCAGCCAAAUAAUCCUGCCUCCCAGGGACGUUAGGGGGGGCGAGAAGCUUGGGCAGGCCCCGGGGCAGCUGCGGAGGGGCGAGCCCAGGUACGGCAGGCAGCAGUUCUCCUGCCCUGCCCCUCAGUCCCCCUUUCCCUCUGGGAAGAGCUCCCACAGGCCGGUGCCGCGGGCUAGGCCAAGCCAGCGGGCUGUGGGCAGCCGGGGGAGAAGCUUGGGGUCAGCACAGUGCCCUCACGUCCAAGAGGCUGGUCCCGAAUCCUCUUAACAGAGCCAGAACGUGAUGGCCCAAGGCGUUUCACUGAUGUCGAAUGUAAAUCCCUAUUAAAAAGAAGCGUUCUCUGGUCUGCACCAGGCCAUCCAUUCUGAUGUCACGGCCCUGUUAAUGAAAUCUGGAAGUGAAAUUGUAAAUGGAUUCAGUGAAUGGUAGAUGUCAGCCAUUGCGUGAUGGGCAAUCAUCAAUCAUCCGCUGUCAGUUAUUUCUGUCUCAGGCUAUGUACAACAUCCUACUUGGCCUAUUGUUUGUUUGCUGUAGAAAGAGAGAAAUAUGAGUUGGAAAGCGGCCAGGGCGUUCAUUUCCCCAGGAUAUACAGUAGAUUCCAGUGGCUCAUUUCAACCCUUAACUGGGGAGGGAAAGCGCAGUCGGGAGGAAUCCCACCUUUGGAAAAUGUCGUGUGUGUGCCCGUUGCCUCCCCAGCUUCGCUCUGUACCCUGGCCCUUAGCUGGGUGGAAACGUAACGCUUCAUCUGGCAAAUGCUGCCCCUGAAGGUACCCAGCCCAGUGGGGUUCUUGGCCCCUCUAAAUAAUUGCCUCAUCUGGA